CUCACAGGGUAAUGGCCUUAGUACGGCGAGUGAAGCGGCAAAAGCUCAAAUUUGAAAUCUGGCACCUUCGGUGUCCGAGUUGUAAUUUGAAGAAGGUAACUUUGGAGUUGGCUCUUGUCUAUGUUCCUUGGAACAGGACGUCACAGAGGGUGAGAAUCCCGUGCGAUGAGAUGCCCAAUUCUAUGUAAAGUGCUUUCGAAGAGUCGAGUUGUUUGGGAAUGCAGCUCUAAGUGGGUGGUAAAUUCCAUCUAAAGCUAAAUAUUGGCGAGAGACCGAUAGCGAACAAGUACAGUGAUGGAAAGAUGAAAAGAACUUUGAAAAGAGAGUGAAAAAGUACGUGAAAUUGUUGAAAGGGAAGGGCUUGAGAUCAGACUUGGUAUUUUGCGAUCCUUUCCUUCUUGGUUGGGUUCCUCGCAGCUUACUGGGCCAGCAUCGGUUUGGAUGGUAGGAUAAUGACUAAGGAAUGUGGCUCUACUUCGGUGGAGUGUUAUAGCCUUGGUUGAUACUGCCUGUCUAGACCGAGGACUGCGUCUUUUGACUAGGAUGUUGGCAUAAUGAUCUUAAGCCACCCGUCUUGAAAACCCGAAACAAAAACGGAAGGCCCUAACCCUCCCCCUCUUUUUUUUUUUUUUAAUACGUUGGGGGGCGUGAAAAGGGGGUGGGAGUGAGGGAUUAGGGGGGGG
rnacentral:rRNA from 1 species